rnacentral:miRNA from 2 species
CUAAGUACUAGUGCCGUAGGUU